UACGUAGGGUGCAGGCGUUAAUCGGAAUUACUGGGCGUAAAGCGUGCGCAGGCGGUUUGCUAAGACAGGUGUGAAAUCCCCGGGCUUAACCUGGGAACUGCGCUUGUUACUGGCAGGCUUGAGUGUGGCAGAGGGGGGUGGAAUUCCACGUGUAGCAGUGAAAUGCGUAGAGAUGUGGAGGAACACCAGUGGCGAAGGCGACUCUUUGGCCUGUAACUGACACUGAGGCGCGAAAGCGUGGGGAGCAAACAGG
rnacentral:rRNA from 1 species